UAGGGAAUCUUCCACAAUGGGCGCAAGCCUGAUGGAGCAACGCCGCGUGAGUGAAGAAGGGUUUCGGCUCGUAAAGCUCUGUUGUUAAAGAAGAACACGCAUGAGAGUAACUGUUCAUACGUUGACGGUAUUUAACCAGAAAGUCACGGCUAACUACGUGCCAG
rnacentral:rRNA from 1 species